rnacentral:lncRNA from 1 species
GCUAGGGCUCUGGUGGUGUGCUGACGCAGUCCAUACCAUCUAAUCCCAUGGCCACGUUCUAAUCUGGUCCCUUGAUUGUGAUUACCAUUGCUACACGUGCAUUGACUAAGGCCCAUGGUGGAUGUUAUGCGCGUGGCCAUCAGAUCUGUCACCUCAAUUAAUGAGAGAUAUUUGAUGACCCUUGUUUUUCUGAUUAAUUCUAUUUUUCCAAAUUAUUUU